rnacentral:hammerhead_ribozyme from 1 species
GCACUGCUGAAGAGUCCCACAAUGUGAGGAAACGGCCGUCCAGUAC